AACCUCUUCCAGUAUCUGUGAAAGCACUAAAUCCAUUGUCCAAAAUAGCUCCCUCCAAAUGGGAGGUCGUUGAUGAGUCAGAGCUUGAGGCACAAGCUGUUACUGUAUCGAAGUGGGAGCUUCCAGAAAAUCAAGAAUCUGAAGAAGAAAAGAAAAUUAAAACAAAACAGGACAUUGAAGAGGAAGUCAGUCCCGAUGAAGCUGAUAGCAGCUCAGAUGAAUCUGUACCACAAGAUGAUUAUUCAGAUACAAAGAAUCUGCAGAAAAUGCUGGAAGCGUCUGAGGGGAAGAGAGCCAAACUGCGAGAAAUUG